rnacentral:rRNA from 1 species
UCUUCUCCGCCGGCGACCGGCGCGACGGGUGAGUAACACGUAUGCAACCUCGCCCCUCGUCGAGGGGGACAACCCGCCGAAAGGCGGGCUAAACCCGCGUACAUGCCACCGGGGCAUCCCGGAGGCAGGAAAGGCUUCGGCCGGACAGGGAUGGGCAUGCGGCGCAUUAGGCAGUAGGCGGGGUAACGGCCCACCUAACCGACGAUGCGUAGGGGUUCUGAGAGGAAGGUCCCCCACACUGGUACUGAGACACGGACCAGACUCCUACGGGAGGCAGCAG